UGAAAGUUGCAUCAAUGGCUGUGGAGCCUGCAUGGGGCUGGACUAGGCCCUCUGGAUGGACCCAGCACAUAGGAUGGUGCUGCCCACCCUUGAUGACCAAUCCUGUGUAACCUGCACGCCUUUGGAUUUGCCCAGACUAGCAUGAUGGAUGAAGACUAGGAGACUGAAGAAAGGACAGACUCAAAGACACAUGUACAGAAAUCUGGGCUCUGGUGGAUUGCUGUGAUGGAAAAACACUAGCAGCAGCCUGGAAACUCAGUUUAUUUUAUACAUCUAAAUCAUGGCUUCAUUACAUACAGCUGAACAAGGAGGUGGGCUUAAUUGUAUACAGCUAAAGGAGGAGUCAGUGUUAGUUCAUGUCAGUAAGAAGUCUCUCUAGGGGAGUGGUUUCAGCCUGUAACAUUGGGGAGAAGGAAGCUGUGGUCAUACUUUCUGCAUAUAUUGCUUUUGGCAAAAGGUCAAUUCUUUAGCCUUUUUUUUUUUUUUUUUUUUUGACCAAGGGAAAGUUUUGCCAUUCCUCUGAGCCUUGCCCAGGGAAGGCUUUGACAUUUCUAUGAGUCUGAAGUAUUGUGGUCCUUGACAUGGCGGUUUUUGAGUUAACAACACAUGGCCACUAUUGAGUCAACAACAGUAUUCACUCAGGACUUCUUCCACUCCCCACACUCAGGACCAGUUCUUAUAGUUAAUCUUCUCUGGAAACACCCUCAUAGUCACACCCAAAGGUGUUGCUAACUGAUGCCCUAGGCAUUUAAUAAUCCAAUUAAAUUGACAAUGAAGAUUAACCAU